AACCAGCGGAGGGAUCAUUACAGAGUUUAAAAACUCCCAAACCAAUGUGAAUCGUACCCUUGUUUUAGUUACUUCGGUGGGCGAUCCCUCUGGCUGGGAUUGUAGCCGUGAGGCGCCCGCCGGAGGUAAUCAAAAACUCUUGUUAUAGCAGUCUUCUGAGUACCAUACAAAUAAAUCAAAACUUUCAACAACGGAUCUCUUGGCUCUAGCAUCGAUGAAGAACGCAGCGAAAUGCGAUAAGUAAUGCGAAUUGCAGAAUUCCGCGAGUCAUCGAAUCUUUGAACGCACAUUGCGCCUGCUAGCAUUCUGGCAGGCAUGCCUGUCCGAGCGUCAUUUCGACCCCCAGGCCUUUAUUGCCUGUUGUUGGGGCGCUUCUAGGGGAUUAACCAUGAUCCGCUAGAGCCCUGAAAGACAGUGGCGGGCUCGCCAGGUCACCGAGCGUAGUAAUUCUUCUCGCUUAGGGGGCACUGACGGGCGCUAGCCGUGAAAAACCACCUAUAUUUCAAUGGUUGACCUC
rnacentral:rRNA from 1 species